rnacentral:rRNA from 1 species
UUCGCAAUGCCCGAAAGGGUGACGAAGCGACGCCGCGUGUGGGAAGAAGGCCUUCGGGUUGUAAACCACUGUCGGGAGUUAAGAAAUGCAAGGGUAUAAAUAGUAUCCUUGCUUGACUAAGGCUCCGGAGGAAGCCACGGCUAACUCUGUGCCAGCAGCCGCGGUAAUACAGAGGCGGCAAGCGUUGUUCGGAAUUAUUGGGCGUAAAGAGCACGUAGGCGGCCUUGCAAGUCAGUUGUGAAAGCCUUCCGCUUAACGGAAGAACGGCAUCUGAUACUACAGGGCUUGAGUACGGGAGGGGAGAGUGGAACUGCUGGUGGAGCGGUGAAAUGCGUAGAUAUCAGAAGGAACGCCGGCGGCGAAAGCGACUCUCUGGUCCGAAACUGACGCUGAGUGUGCGAAAGCUAGGGGAGCAAACGGGAUUAGAUACCCCGGUAGUCCUAGCCGUAAACGAUGGGCACUAAGUAGAGGGGUUUU